rnacentral:lncRNA from 1 species
CUGGGGUUCCUCAUAACUACGACAGGUUCGGGCGCAGUGCAUGCCUCCGUUGGUGCAGCUGGGGCUGCCUCCUUGGCUGGCUCUGCUGCAGGUGCAGCUGGGGCUUCCUCAUGAACUACGACAGGUUCGGGCGCAGUGCAUGCCUCUGCAGGUGCAGCUGGGGCUUCCUCCUUGGCUGGCUCUGCUGCAGGUGCAGCUGGGGCUGCCUCCUUGGCUGGCUCUGCUGCAGGUGCAGCUGGGGCUGCCUCCUUGGCUGGUUCUGCAGC